UUUGCUUCACUGAUACUCGACCCCUUCUUGGCUUCUUCUAAGUCUCCAUUGGUGAUUUCCCCGUUGUUUGCUUGACGGUAUUCAACAAUAAAUACUACUGAAUUUCCUUAAAAAGUUUAAGAAGCCUUUCAUAUACAAUAAUCGGAGGUCAGGGAAGGGUUCUAGAUAGGCCAGUGUUCCGAUCUAGAGGCCCAACAAGGGUGUUGGCUUGGUGUUUCGGAGGCUAAGUGGUGUAAGAUAGGCUAGUUGCAGAGAUACAAUUUUUUAUAAUAAUUAAUAUAUAGAUAGCUAUGUACUCAUCUAUGCGUGCUUAUGCAAUUAAACGACCGUGUUUCUGGGAAAAAAAUCACAUGCUUAUUCUAUAUAAAAUACCCAUUUUCUCUCUCCUCUAACCUCUCACCAUUUUCUGAAUCAUCAAAAACCUCUCACUCUCUCUCCUCCAUUGAUGUCACUCCUUCUCUCUCCUCCCAAACAAUCCAGCCUCCUCCCCUCCACUUUUCGUCGCCGCCGUCGAUUUUCUCUAGCUACGACCAAACAACCGCGCCACCUCCCAAGCGAGCCACCGCCUUCUCCGCCACCGGCGCUAACGCCUUCUCCGAACAUCGACAAACGCUUCUCCGAACGUCGUCGCUAACGCCGAAGAAAUCUGACCUAAAAAUAGUUAGCCGACAGUUAAAGCCCUUGGAAAUGAUGAACUCUAUGAAAGUAAUCUAGCUUCUGUGUGUAAGUUGUAAAGGAAGAAAAAGUUCAAUAAGAAUGCGACAACAAACGAAGAAGACUGAUUUAGAAAUGGAAGAUAUGGUAUUAAGAGAGGCUGUAAGAAUUGAAGAAGAAUUGAAGGCAUGAGCAACCAAGAAAGAAUCUACAAAUAAGUAAGAAAAAGAAAGAGAAAAGAGAUCGUUGUAGCGAAAAAAGUGAAAGCCGAAAGGAAGGAAGCUGAAAAAUUAGAAGCCUAGAAAGAGAAGAGGCAACAACCACUUAAAUAGAGGAUGGAGAUAGAAAAUAAAUGUCAUGUUCAUUUUCUGAACAUGAAUGUUCAUUAAAUUACUUUAAAUGUCCAUUUGCUUGUUCCUUAUGUGUGCUUCCAGCUUACUAAAAUAAUGAGAUGUUUUUUUUUCUGGAAAACAUGUGUAAUAAAAAAUUUAAAUUUAUUUUAUUUA